rnacentral:rRNA from 1 species
UACGGGGGGGGCAAGCGUUAUCCGGAUUCACUGGGUUUAAAGGGUGCGUAGGUGGGUUGGUAAGUCAGUGGUGAAAUCUCCAGGCUUAACUUGGAAACUGCCAUUGAUACUAUCAAUCUUGAAUACCGUGGAGGUCAGCGGAAUAUGUCAUGUAGCGGUGAAAUGCUUAGAUAUGACAUAGAACACCAAUUGCGAAGGCAGCUGGCUACACGAAUAUUGACACUGAUGCACGAAAGCGUGGGGAUCAAACAGG